GGGGUGCCCCACCGGGCGUGGAGCCCUCCCUUGCACGGAGGGCGUGAUGGGUUCGACUCCCAUGCGCUCCA
rnacentral:tRNA from 1 species